UACGAAGGGGGCUAGCGUUGCUCGGAAUCACUGGGCGUAAAGCGCACGUAGGCGGAUCUUUAAGUCAGGGGUGAAAUCCCAAGGCUCAACCUUGGAACUGCCUUUGAUACUGGGGAUCUUGAGUCCGGGAGAGGUGAGUGGAACUGCGAGUGUAGAGGUGAAAUUCGUAGAUAUUCGCAAGAACACCAGUGGCGAAGGCGGCUCACUGGCCCGGUACUGACGCUGAGGUGCGAAAGCGUGGGGAGCAAACAGG
rnacentral:rRNA from 1 species